rnacentral:rRNA from 1 species
ACCCGCUGAACUUAAGCAUAUCAAUAAGCGGAGGAAAAGAAACUAACAAGGAUUCCCCUAGUAACUGCGAGUGAAGCGGGAAAAGCUCAAAUUUAAAAUCUGGCAGCCUUUGGUUGUCCGAGUUGUAAUCUAGAGAAGUGUUAUCCGCGCUGGACCGUGUACAAGUCUCCUGGAAUGGAGCGUCACAGAGGGUGAGAAUCCCGUCUUUGACACGGACUGCCAGGGCUUUGUGAUGCGCUCUCAAAGAGUCGAGUUGUUUGGGAAUGCAGCUCAAAAUGGGUGGUAAAUUCCAUCUAAAGCUAAAUAUUGGCGAGAGACCGAUAGCGAACAAGUACCGUGAGGGAAAGAUGAAAAGGACUUUGGAAAGAGAGUUAAACAGUACGUGAAAUUGCUGAAAGGGAAACGCUUGAAGUCAGUCGCGUUGUCCAGGGAUCAACCUUGCUUUUGCUUGGUGCACUUUCUGGUUGACGGGUCAGCAUCAAUUUUGACUAUUGGAAAAAGAUUAGGGGAAUGUGGCAUCUUUGGAUGUGUUACAGCCCUUGGUUGCAUACAAUGGUUGGGAUUGAGGAACUCAGCACGCCGCAAGGCCGGGUUUUUAAUUAACCACGUUCGUGCUUAGGAUGCUGGCAUAAUGGCUUUAAUCGACCCGUCUUGAAACACGGACCAAGGAGUCUAACAUGCCUGCGAGUGUUUGGGUGGAAAACCCGAGCGCAUAAUGAAAGUGAAAGUUGAGAUUCCUGUCGUGGGAAGCAUCGACGCCCGGACCAGAUCUUUUGUGACGGUUCCGCGGUAGAGCAUGUAUGUUGGGACCCGAAAGAUGGUGAACUAUGCCUGAAUAGGGUGAAGCCAGAGGAAACUCUGGUGGAGGCUCGUAGCGAUUCUGACGUGCAAAUCGAUCGUCAAAUUUGGGUAUAGGGGCGAAAGACUAAUCGAACC